rnacentral:rRNA from 1 species
UCUGAAUCUUGGCUACGGCUCCGCAAACCAGUUGUAAACCGAGGCAGGGUUCCCUUCCCGCGGUUCCGCUUCGGUGGGACUGCGGGUUAAUAUAUGGAUAACCGUGGUAAUUCUGAGGCUAAUACAUGACGUACAAAACCUCGCUCCGGGCUUGCCCGGGGCGGGGGGGCGUGCGACUUAAGGCUGGGGUAACAUCCAUGACAGAACGCACGCUCGGACCACCGUUAAGGGUGAAGGGCCUCGGCUCGGAUCCUGGUGGCCCCCGCAAUGUGCUUCUGACCUAUCAACUAGACGGCAGCAUAAGGGACAUGCUAUGGUGACAACGGUA